AACUUAUAUGAUGCUUGUCCCUCAAAAUUUGGGCAGAUUAAUAAAAAGCGAUUGAUUACUCGAAUUGGUUCUCGCAUCCAUGUGCCCAAAGGAUGGACGAGUUCAGUUUGAGAAAAAAAAAAUUGAUACAAGCUCAACAUAAUGCUAAUUGCCAAGCAGAAUUCAACCCCAAAGACUACAAUACAUGCUCAAUAAGGCAGAGUAAGUUGAUAGAAUGCAAUGGCAAUUACAUACAUGGGCAAUAUUAUGAUAUAACAAGAGUUCAAAAGAAAUGAAAGUACUUAUAUCUCUCUCAAUUGGAGUAACAAUUUGUAUGAUCCUACAAAACAUACAACUCUAUCCCGCAUACCACAACUCAGCCAAACAAUAUUUCCAGAGGUAAAGACACAAGCUUAGGUUCCUCGAGGGAAAAAAAACGAAAAAAAUGCAGCUGAAUUGAGGUCUUGAAUCCAAAAUCAUGCUCACUUGUGCCCGCGAAAGUACAGGUAGACUUUCUGCAGUGACAGUACAGAAACAUUGUGAGAAGCAAAUGAAAUUAACAAAGAAAUAGUCAACAGCCAACAACAUUUUUCCCCCUUCUAAUCAAUUGUCAAAGGACAUAACUGCACAUAAUUGCAUUGGGAUUGGUAACAAUUCAUACGAGUAUGAGCUAUUGAACUAAGUUGGAAGCAGAUCAUUGACAAUGUAUGCUGGACUUGCACCUAUAUGAAGAACUUCGAUUUGUAUUCAUGUUGUUUCGAAAAACAAUGAUGCACAAGUUGCCUGCUGCUGCAGAGAACUACAAAUAUUGAGUUUUUUUAUAAGGACCUACAACUACAAAUAUUGAGUUUUUAAAGCAAACAUCAGAAUAUGUAAUUAAACAUUACCAAUUCUUGACACUAAGUUUCUUUUUACCCCCAGUUAUUGUUGUAUAGCAAAUUAACUGGAACUAGCAUCGUAUCACUUUUCAUUGUUAUCAAGCAUCUAUAAUGUCUAAUUAUCUAAUACAUUCAACAAGAGUUCAACAAAAGCCCCACCCUGCCAUUUGCUAUCUUGAGUUUCUGGAUACAUUAAACUCCUAUACAAGUCGGGGCUUCCACUCCGUCCUAAGACUGAUCAAAGAAGAGUGAGGAACCUCUCAUUCGUUUUUGGAAUUCGACAACAGAAAGGGAUUUUACACCAACGACCGACGCCAACCACACACACACCAAAAAGAAGAGAUGACCUCUUAAUCAUAGAAAGAACUCCCAAGAAAACCAACCUUCUCCAUCCAGAGGAAAUCGACUAGAAUAUGUUUAAUGUGAAACUCUUUUUUCUUUAUACUUCCAGAUUGAAGUAAAUUCCAAGAAACUUUUGGAAUCAAACCCACAAGCCAAAGAAAGUUAGCAAGUGAAAAAGAAAAAAAGGUAAAAAGAAAGAAGGCCACUCGGAACAAACACAAAAAGAAGAUUGUGGUCAAAGUUUACGAAGUUGAUGUGCAGACAGUUGAUUUGCAAAAUAAGAAUGCCAAUUCUGUAAAUGCUAACCUGCAAUACCCACAAGCUUAGCAAAACUUCCAAGCAAAAAAGGCCAAAUCCAAUCAGAUAAAAGAUCUGCAAGAAAAGGAGAAGUGAGAACAACAUCUUAUAAAGAGAAGAUCAGAAGCUUGAUAAAAAGAUAUUAUCACAUAAUCAUAUUUUUCUGUAGUUUCGAGUUUCAGUUAUCUAUAGAGAGUUCUACCCCUUUUAAAUCAGUAAAUACAACUACUGCGCGGUACAUUACAAGUUAAAAUCACUUUAAGGUUCAAGAAAUGAAAGGCAGUAAAGUUGAAAUCUAUUUCAACCUGCUAAACUGAUGAUCAAUGAGAAACCAUAGGAAGAAUUGCUCCAUUUCCCAGUCAUUUCCAAAUACACA
rnacentral:lncRNA from 1 species